UACGUAGGGGGCAAGCGUUGUCCGGAAUUAUUGGGCGUAAAGCGCGCGCAGGCGGUUCCUUAAGUCUGAUGUGAAAGCCCACGGCUUAACCGUGGAGGGUCAUUGGAAACUGGGGAACUUGAGUACAGAAGAGGAGAGUGGAAUUCCACGUGUAGCGGUGAAAUGCGUAGAUAUGUGGAGGAACACCAGUGGCGAAGGCGACUCUCUGGUCUGUAACUGACGCUGAGGUGCGAAAGCGUGGGGAGCGAACAGG
rnacentral:rRNA from 1 species